UAGUAGAGACAAGGUUUCUCCAUGUUGGCCAGGCUGGUCUUGAACUCCUGACCUCAGGUGAUCCGCCCUCCUUGGCCUCCCAAAGUGCUGGGAUUACAGCUGUCAGCCACGGCGCUGGGCCUACAGCUCAUUUCUUACCACAGAAAUCUUUGUGCCUCUCCACAAAACUGCCAUCAGGGAUGUCCCCAGAAACCAUUCAUCCCAGGUGCCAUGCAGAGAAGAGCUUCUUGUUCUCCUUUUCCCUUUCCCUCUUCCCUCUCACCUCAUCUUGUUCAUUCACUCAUCCCUUUUCCCUUCUCACUUUUAAGCGUUAACCUUUAAAAGCCUGUCUUCCCCUAUAAGUAAUGUAUUGUAACUCCCGACAUCACCAUAUCCUUCUCCAACCCACCAAACUGCCAAGGGUGGUAAGUCCAUAAACUAAGAAGAAAUGGGAAACAUUCAUUGCAAAAUUUGCAGCCCGUCAGUCACCCAAUGUGACAGCACAGAUCUUCUGGUCUUUGAAGACCCAUUUUUUUUUAAGACAGGUGUCACUCUGUCACCCAGGUUCAGGUGCAGUGGUGCAAUCACAGCUCACUGCAACCCCCAACUCCUGUGCUCAGGCGAUCUGCCUGCCUCAGCCUCCCAAGCAGCUAGAACUACAGGAACACACCACCACACACAGCUAAUGUGCUUAUUUUUUGUAAAGAUGGGGUCUUACUCUGCUUAACAGGCUGGUCUCAAACUCUUGGCUUCAAGGGAUCCUCCCACCUUGGCCUCCCAAAGUGCUGGGAUUACAGGCAUGAGUCACCAUGCCUGGUCUGAAGACUUUUAAAUGUUGCCAUAUUCAAGAUGUGUUGAAACUCACCUGUGUUUGAUGAGCCUGCUUUUUCAAGUGAGUAAUAUACAACACACUGAAAUACCUUCAGCUUCUCAGGCUUUGUACCUUCCUCUGGAAUAAUCAGUGUAUCCCAAAAGUAAAUCCAUAAUGAGGUCCAGUUUUUCCUUCCUACUUGGCUAUGAAAUAGACAAAGAAAAAGGCAAGCUAACCAUUUCCAUCUCACUGUAGGAGACUCUCCAGUUUGCUUUUUGACUGUACUUGGGAAGCGGGGACCUGACUGAUUUCCUACUUCCUAAGCAGAACUUCCUUUACCUAGGAAAUCCUCAGCGCGACCUACAU
rnacentral:lncRNA from 1 species